UAGAGUUUGAUCAUGGCUCAGAUUGAACGCUGGCGGCAGGCCUAACACAUGCAAGUCGAGCGGCAGCACGAGGAAGCUUGCUUUCUUGGUGGCGAGCGGCGGACGGGUGAGUAAUACAUGGGAAUCUGCCCGAUAGUGGGGGACAACGUUUCGAAAGGAACGCUAAUACCGCAUACGUCCUACGGGAGAAAGCAGGCUUAGGCUUGCGCUAUCGGAUGAGCCCAUGUCGGAUUAGCUUGUUGGUGAGGUAAUGGCUCACCAAGGCGACGAUCCGUAACUGGUCUGAGAGGAUGAUCAGUCACACCGGAACUGAGACACGGUCCGGACUCCUACGGGAGGCAGCAGUGGGGAAUAUUGGACAAUGGGGGCAACCCUGAUCCAGCCAUGCCGCGUGUGUGAAGAAGGCCUUCGGGUUGUAAAGCACUUUCAGCGAGGAGGAAAGCAGUAAGGUUAAUACCCUUACUUGUGUGAACGUACUCG
rnacentral:rRNA from 1 species